rnacentral:lncRNA from 1 species
GUCAAAGAUGAAUAAACAUAUUUCGUUGAUCAAUAUAGUUGCAGAUAAUAAGCAUAGAGUCCGUUAGUGGCACUGGCGGAUGCGGAGUUCAUUAAAGGCAUGAUGGGUUUGCUCGCGGAUGUUGGAGGGCUUUCUCAGGAGGUGUCUCCAGGGGGGAGGCGUGUCCUGAACUGGGUGGUCGUUGGGGUGGUGCUCCUGAUCGCUUCGAGGGGGAAUCUUGAGCAUUUCAGCCAUGGCGGUGUGCUUCUGCUUUUCUAUUUUUCGGACUGUUUUGGCUUCUUGCUAAUUUACACUCAUGUCUUUCUCGUAGACACUUCUGGCUGAUGCCGUACUUAACCUCUUUGUGCUGCAG